AUAUCUAUUGAAGUAUUGGAUUAGCGUGUCAUAUGAUAAACUUAUAGAUUGAUAUUGAACCUGAGGGAGUGUCUUAAUUUUAUAAUUAAUUUCUUGGAAAUAAAAAUGUUAAAAUUAUUCGUGUGUUUCAUAGCUAUAUUUAUUGCAGUUGCAGCAAACGGAGAUUUUGUAGUUCUACACAGCCCAAAUAGUGUCUUAUUUCAUGGGAAUGAAGAGGUAGAGCAAAGCUUACUUAAGGAAGUGUUAGCUGCUGCAUUGGGUUUCACCGUUAAACUGAGGGGAGUAUGGAGCGGUAUCUCUAUCACUGAUCCAUUUAGUCUACCAGAAGCCGUAGUGGCAGUAGUGAUAGAAGGUAUAGAUUCUUUAGACAUUCCAAAAGGCAAGAGAUUUCCUUUGAAUGUUAAUGAAGUCGAAGAAACCACAUGGCAAGCUCUUAGAGGACGCCUCGAAGAAAGAGAUAACGAUAACACUUUAGUAAGAAUUUCUUUGGGAGAUGGUUUAGAUGCUCUAGGACAGUCAGCACUUGGGGAAUUAAAACCAACUCCUAUUGAUGAAUCGUCUUUGAGAGCCUUAAGUUUAAGAAAGGAAGAAGACAAGAAGUUUCUUGAAGAAGUACAACUGCUCCAUGCAAUUGCUAAAAAAGCACCCUCUGCAAUUAAACCAGAUUCGAAAUCUGAUAUUUAUUGGCUCGUUAUAUCUGGUUUACGCCCAAUUUUUGAUGUUUAUGGCAGCAACUCAACUGCUUCUAAGGAAGCACUAUCCUUACUGAAUAAUGCUUUAAAUGUUAUUCAUGAUGCAUUUAUUCAAGCUUAUGAUGGCCAGGUAUUAAUUGUGGCCUUUACAAAUGAUGCAAGCAAGGUGCACCAUAUUCGGUCUGUAACUCAAGAGAGGCAGAAACGGGAGACUUUAGAUACUGAUGGAAAAGAAGUGGCUAAUAAAACUAACAAUAUAGAAUCUUCUACGGAUGUUAAACAUAAUAACAACAAUACGAACUCUUUUAAUGCUAAUAUGUUGAGUAAGCAAGAUGAACAUCAAGGUGACAAUACAAAGUUAACAAAUGAAGAGGAUAAAGAUACAAACAUUGAUAAGCCUGAACAUUUUGAUACAAACGGUGAUACAAACGUUAGUAAUCAUAAUGAUAAUGGAGACAUUAACAAUAAUACGAAUUUGACUAACGGGGAGAAUAUAGUAAAGUCUAACAGACAAAGUAUAGGACAGGUACCAUGAAUACUUAAAAUUUUACGUAUUUUUAAAAAUCUUAAUGUAUUCUAUUAUGUUGAAAUAAGGUUGUGCUAAUUGCAAGAAUAAUGAAUAUAUCUUCAUUUAUUUUAGCAGUAUAUUUUAAUUUAGGAGACUAUUUCUUUAGCUGAUUGUUAUGACUUAUCAUAUUCUAUCAUUUUGGUGUCUUGAUUGUCUUGCAUUUCAUAAACAAUUACAGUUUACUUCUUCAGGUCCGCAAUCAAUAAUCAAAACACCAAUUCAAAUCAUCACAAAAGCUUCAAAUAUUUUUUUAGCAUAAAAUUGUUAUGUAUUUUUGUUAUCGGUAAUUAGUAGAACACGUGUAAAAUUGUAAGUAAAUCUCUAUUAAAUUGUGCAUGAAUUUAGUAAGUAAUUUAAAUUAAAACAAUACUACAAAUUGAACUAUACAUUUUUUACGCUAUAUGACAUUGAAAGUCCUUUAUUAUUUUGCAAUUUAAGGCUUUACAUUACAAAUGUAAGCAAUUAACAUUAGUAUGCUUAAAUAUUAUGUGGUUCUGUACACAACAAUGCAUGUUUACACAUGACCAUCCAUUUAUACAACAUAUAUUGUAAACUGUAAAUAGCUGUUGCAAUAGUUAGCUAGUAAUUUCAGAAGUAGUAAAAAUACGGUUUUAGAUUGCAAAAUAUGAGAGUUUUUAGAUUUGCUAUGAUACAAGCAGUCUUGAGUUAUUAAUUUAGCAUGUUUUAUUUCUAUAUUAUAUAAAUGCUUUCAAUGUGCUUACAUAACAACAGUGCUUGUUAUUAACAUAUAUUUAUAAUUAAUGCUACAAUAUCAUGUAGCACUUGAUAAAAUGCAUGAUAAUUUAUUACAGGAAAUAUGUAAUACAGAAAAUCUAGUUUAAAGAAAAAAGAAUAUAAUUUGAGCUAAUUAUGUCAGUCUUAUGGUACAAAAUGCGGAACAUAUACAAAUUUUGUAGCAUUAUCUCAUGUCAUGUUUAUAAGGCUUUAUAACUUUUUCUUUUCUUAAAUAAAUAAGCUUCCUCAUUGAAAUCAAAAACUUGGCAAAAGAAUAUUCCACGGAUUAUCCUGCCAUCUUUAACAUUAUUUUAUGGUUUGGAGUUGUUUUUGUUUUCUCG